GACGAACGCUGGCGGCGUGCUUAACACAUGCGAGUCGAACGGAAAGGCCCUGCUUUUGUGGGGUGCUCGAGUGGCGAACGGGUGAGUAACACGUGAGUAACCUGCCCUUGACUUUGGGAUAACUUCAGGAAACUGGGGCUAAUACCGGAUAGGAGCUCCUGCUGCAUGGUGGGGGUUGGAAAGUUUCGGCGGUUGGGGAUGGACUCAGGGCUUAUCAGCUUGUGGGUGGGGUAGUGGCGUACCAAGGCUUUGACGGGUAGCCGGCCUGAGAGGGUGACCGGCACCCCUGGAACGGGGACACGGUCCAGGCGCCUACGGGAGGCAGCAGUGGGGAACAUGCGACAAGGGGCGAAAGCCUGAUGCAGGCAUGCCGCGUGUGUGAAGACGGUCUGCGGAUUGUAAAGCAGGUUAAGUUGGGAGGAAGGGCAGUAAGUGAAUACCUUGCUGUUGUGACGGUACCAACAGAAUAAGCACCGGCUAACUUCGUG
rnacentral:rRNA from 1 species